rnacentral:rRNA from 1 species
GUGGAUUAGAUACCCGGGUAGUCCGCACGGUAAACGAUGGAUGCCCGCUGUUGGUCUGAAUAGGUCAGCGGCCAAGCGAAAGCAUUAAGCAUCCCACCUGGGGAGUACGCCGGCAACGGUGAAACUCAAAGGAAUUGACGGGGGCCCGCACAAGCGGAGGAACAUGUGGUUUAAUUCGAUGAUACGCGAGGAACCUUACCCGGGCUUGAAUUGCAGAGGAAGGAUUUGGAGACAAUGACGCCCUUCGGGGUCUCUGUGAAGGUGCUGCACGGCCGUCGACAACU